rnacentral:lncRNA from 1 species
CUUUAAGCUAACACCAAAUUACAAAUAAGUAAAAAAAAUGGCUGUGUUGUAUCAUUGCGCAGUUGAUCUUGUAGAAAAAGUAUUUUAUGGAAGACAUUUUCUAAACGGACAUUGAACUGCGUUUGGGACAUGAUGAGAGGCGGUCAUAAUGGUUCUUUUGGACAACCAAGUUGAUCAGAACUGGCACUGAGUCUCAGUGGAGAGCUGCAGUGGCCCGUCACUUACCGAGCGAAGAUGGCUCUGCAUCUCAGACUAUUUCAAGCUCGCUCUUUCGACCACAGAUGUUACAUCUUGACUGCUCUAUCCAGUUCUCCCUUUGAUUCAUUUGUGUAAAACUCUGCAAACCCACGCACUCUCACGGCUAUGUGUAUUGCUGCCUCAUUAGUCCAGAUGUAGCAGGAUUAACAGCAGCUGUGACAUUUGCUUGCUUGUAAGGGAGCAGUCUAUAAAAACAAGCAAACGAGAGGAUCUGGAAGCCCUAACCCCUUCUUCUUCACCACCUCCUUUUUCCACCUU